CGUAGGGUGCGAGCGUUGUCCGGAAUUACUGGGCGUAAAGAGCUUGUAGGCGGUUCGUCGCGUCGAUCGUGAAAACUGGCGGCUCAACUGCCAGCUUGCGGUCGAUACGGGCGGACUAGAGUACUUCAGGGGAGACUGGAAUUCCUGGUGUAGCGGUGAAAUGCGCAGAUAUCAGGAGGAACACCGGUGGCGAAGGCGGGUCUCUGGGAAGUAACUGACGCUGAGAAGCGAAAGCGUGGGUAGCGAACAGGAUUAGAUACCCUGGUAGUCCACGCCGUAAACGGUGGGUACUAGGUGUGGGUUUCCUUCCACGGGAUCCGUGCCGUAGCUAACGCAUUAAGUACCCCGCCUGGGGAGUACGGCCGCAAGGCUA
rnacentral:rRNA from 1 species